UACGGAGGGUGCAAGCGUUGCUCGGAAUUAUUGGGCGUAAAGGGUUGGGUAGGUGGUCUCGUUUGUCAGGGGUGAAAGCCUUGGGCUUAACCCAAGAAGUGCCUCUGAAACGGCGAGACUCGAGUACUGGAGAGGUGAGUGGAAUUCCCGGUGUAGCGGUGAAAUGCGUAGAGAUCGGGAGGAACACCAGAGGCGAAGGCGGCUCACUGGACAGUUACUGACACUCAACAACGAAAGCGUGGGGAGCAAACAGG
rnacentral:rRNA from 1 species